UCCUUAUGCCGAAAAAAGAAAAAGAGUCAAAACUUUGAUGUCAAGUGUUCAUGGUAGGAAAGAGCACAAACUAAUUGUGCUAAACGAGAACAAUCAACACAUAGGUCCUACUGAUAUUGUUGUAGUAGAGUUGGGUAGCUUUCUCGGCACAUUGGCAAGGAAUGCACCCUUUUGCCCUCUUAAUGUGUUUAAUCGGAGGAAACUUGAAACAAAAGAAGAUAUGUGGAAAUAUAUCAAGGGAAAAUAUGACAUUCCUGAUGCUGCAAAAAGGUGGAUUUUUGAUUCAAUCGCUAAUGCUUGGAGAAAGUAUAAGAAUCAAUUAAUGAAAGACCAUUUUCAAGUUUAUGAGAAUGACGAGCUUCGAAUGGAAAAAAGGCUGGUUGAUGUUCCUGAAUCUCAAUUUAGGGAUCUUAAUUAUUGAAACUCUGAUGCCUACAAGAAAAUGUCCAAAACCAAUACCGAGAAUUGCAAAAAGUUGAAAUGUUCACACACUGCUGGCAAAAGAAGUUUCGCUCGAAUAUGCGAGGAAAAAAAGAAAGAAACUUCUGAACCUCUAUCAAGCAAGGAUAUCUUUGUGGCUACGAGAAAAAGAAAACCCGAUCGAGUAUAUAAGGCCUCGUAUGCGGAUACUCUUAAUAAAAUUUUUGGUCUUGUAGGCUGAAAUGGAAAGAUUUCAAUCAUCACAAGAAAGUCAGUCAAUCAUUUGCUGCAUUUGCAUCAGUCAUGGGACCUGAGCAUCCAGGUUGCCUAAGAUUGUAUGGACGUGGGGUUACCAAGGCUUCCUUAAAAAGAAAAGUGGGAGAUUUUGGACCCUCUUUAAGUUCGACUGAUGAGACGAUGCAAGAAAAUUGGAGGAAAUGGAAGAAAGGAUGGAGCAUAGGAUGCAAUAAAAGUUUAACGCACAAAAAGAUGCCAUGGAACUACAAGUUGCAGUUAACAUCAUUUCACAACUUAAGCAUCUGAAUCCAGAUUUACGGAUUGAUCCCAGCAUGCUAGCUUUCAAUGCUCAUUCACCCAGAGAAGCUUCCUUUGUACAACAAGCUGCUAUGCAACUAAUCAAUCGUCUAUCUACUGGGAGUAAUAAUCAAGGUCAGUACGUACUCCAAAUGUUACACCCCUUCUUUUAUUUAUUUAUUUCUUUCUUCUUCUCCCCCUUCUGCUGCUUUUCUAAGGUUACACUUGAACUUAUUCUUCUCUCUUUAAGGUUAUUUCUUCGUCUAACUUAUAUAUGUUAAUCAAAAAAGUGUCUGGUUUUCUGCCAGCUUCGCCCCCCCUUAUAUAUAUAUUUGAUUAUCUCAUUUUGGAAAGAAUAUUUCUACUGUGCGUAUAUAAUAAAUGGAUGAUUCAGAGUUGAUUGUUUUGUGAUUAUCUCAUUUUGGAAAGACGAUUGAAAUCAGACUUCAGAUGGUUCCCUGAGAUUAAUCGUAAAUGUUAAUAUUACUCUCUUGUUUACUGAUGUAAAUACGUGCUGUGUAUGUAGUAGAAUUACUUCUACUGGUUUGUGCGUGGAAACUAUUUCUAUACCACUGGUGACUUUGUAACAAUUUGCAAUAUUGACUGAUACUAUUAUUUCUCUUUAUUUUGCAUUUAGUUUUUUUGCUUGAUUAAGUUCUUAUUGUCUUUUUGUAUGUGUUUACUCUCUAAUUCUUAUAUUUAGUCUUGGUUAAACAGCGUAAAGAUCUGUACUAAUCCUUUUAUAUUGUUGAAGGGAAAACAAAUGUAUAGGAUGAUUCAUAUGUUGCCUGCAUGUGUCUUUAAUCUCUACAUCAGAAGUACGAGGCUUUGUACUAUUUUAGAACAUCAAGUAGGUUGUCACUUUGUACUAUUUUAGAACUUCAAGUAGAUAAUUUUUGUCUGAUCAAUAGCAUUGAGAGUAGAUGAGGUGCUUUUUUGAAGGGUUGUAUUGCUUGGAGUUCUGAAGGUUUCCUUCCCUAUCAUAGUGCUAAACUCUGAUUUCAAUCCUAUAUUUUCCGUUCAAGUUAGAUAUAAUGGCAGCAGGACUAUCUGACUAUGGAUAAAGUGAAGUGUUCUUUGUAAAAGGUCGAGCAAUUGAAGAAGGGGAAGGUGGAGAUUGUGAAGAUCUAGACCUUACUUAAGAACUUUGAAUUAUUGUCCAUGUUCUAUGAAUUUUUUGUUAUCAACAUUUGAUAUUACUAUAACUCUUGAAGUGUUGAAAUGUAUAACUUAUGUGAUUGAGUUAAAACAUUUUGGUUUUAUGGAUA